AUCACUCCAUUGGUCACCAGGGUUGAUUCAGCUGACCUGGCCAGGCAGGU
ensembl:misc_RNA 7SK 7SK RNA